AGUGAACGCUGGCGGUAGGCCUAACACAUGCAAGUCGAACGGCAGCACAGUAAGAGCUUGCUCUUACGGGUUGCGAGUGGCGGACGGGUGAGGAAUACAUCGGAAUCUACUUUUUCGUGGGGGAUAACGUAGGGAAACUUACGCUAAUACCGCAUACGACCUACGGUUGAAAGCAUGGGAUCUUCGGACCUUGCGCGAUUGAAUGAGCCGAUGUCGGAUUAGCUAGUUGGCGGGGUAAAGGCCCACCAAGGCGACGAUCCGUAGCUGGUCUGAGAGGAUGAUCAGCCACACUGGAACUGAGACACGGUCCAGACUCCUACGGGAGGCAGCAGUGGGGAAUAUUGGACAAUGGGCGCAAGCCUGAUCAAGCCAUACCGCGUGGGUGAAGAAGGCCUUCGGGUUGUAAAGCCCUUUUGUUGGGAAAGAAAAGCAGCAGGUUAAUACCCCGCUGUUCUGACGGUACCCAAAGAAUAAGCACCGGCUAACUUCGUG
rnacentral:rRNA from 1 species